UGAAUACGAGAUGCUACGGCGUCGAAGCAGUCUAUGUCAUACUUCCAAGAAAAGCUUGCACUGUCAUAAACAAAUAAUGCCUGUACCAUAACCGACACAGGUGGGUAGGUAGAGUAUACUAAGGGGCGCGAGAUAACUCUCUCUAAGGAACUCGGCAAAAUGACUCCGUAACUUCGGGAGAAGGAGUGCCUUAUUUAUAAGGUUGCAAUAACAAGAUCCAAGCAACUGUUUACCAAAAACACAGGUCUCCGCUAAGUCGUAAGACGAUGUAUGGGGGCUGACGCCUGCCCAGUGCCAGAAGGUUAAAGAAGUUGGUUAGCAUCCGCGAAGCUGAUAACUGAAGCCCUGGUGAACGGCGGCCGUAACGAUAACGGUCCUAAGGUAGCGAAAUUCCUUGUCGGGUAGUUCCGACCCGCACGAAAGGCGUAAUGAUUUGGAUACUGUCUCGGAGAGGGGCUCGGUGAAAUAGACUUGUCUGUGAAGAUGCGGACUACCUGCACCAGGACAGAAAGACCCUAUGAAGCUUUACUGUAACCUGAAAUUGAAAUUGGACUUUACUUGCGCAGUAUAGGUGGGAGGCGUUGAGAAUAUUCUGCGGGAUUAUUGGAGCCAUCAGUGAGAUACCACUCUUGUAAUGUUAGAUUUCUAACUUUGUAUCAUUAUCUGGUCAAAGAACAGUUUCAGGCGGGCAGUUUGACUGGGGCGGUCGCCUCCUAAACGGUAACGGAGGCGCACAAAGGUUUCCUCUGAACGGGUAGAAAUCGUAUCUAGAGUGUAAAGGCAUAAGGAAGCUUGACUGUGAGACCUACAAGUCGAGCAGGGACGAAAGUCGGUCUUAGUGAUCUGACGGUGCUGAGUGGAAAGGCCGUCACUCAACGGAUAAAAGUUACUCUAGGAUAACAGGCUGAUCUCCCCCAAGAGUUCACAUCGACGGGGAGGUUUGGCACCUCGAUGUCGGCUCAUCGCAUCCUGGGGCGGUAGUACGUCCCAAGGGUUGGGCUGUUCGCCCAUGAAAGCGGUACGCGAGCUGGGUUCAGAACGUCGUGAGACAGUUCGGUCCAUAUCCGGUGUAGGCGUUAGAAUAUUGAGAGGAGCCUUCUUUAGUACGAGAGGACCGAGAAGGACAUACCUCUGGUGUACCAGUUAUCGUGCCAACGGUAAACGCUGGGUAGCUAUGUGUGGAGUGGAUAACCGCUGAAAGCAUCUAAGUGGGAAGCCCACCUCAAGAUAAGUAUUCUCAC
rnacentral:rRNA from 1 species